rnacentral:rRNA from 1 species
GAACUGAAGAGUUUGAUCCUGGCUCAGAUUGAACGCUGGCGGCAUGCCUUACACAUGCAAGUCGAACGGAGCGGGGGGGCUUGCCCUUCCGUUGAGUGGCGAACGGGUGAGUAGUGCAUCGGAACGUACCUGGGAGUGGGGGAUAACGUAGCGAAAGUUACGCUAAUACCGCAUAAACUGUGAGCAGAAAAGCAGGGGAUCGCAAGACCUUGCGCUUUUGGAGCGGCCGAUGUCGGAUUAGCUGGUUGGUGGGGUAAAGGCUUACCAAGGCGACGAUCCGUAGCGGGUCUGAGAGGAUGAUCCGCCACACUGGGACUGAGACACGGCCCAGACUCCUACGGGAGGCAGCAGUGGGGAAUUUUGGACAAUGGGGGCAACCCUGAUCCAGCCAUGCCGCGUGAGUGAAGAAGGCCUUCG